rnacentral:lncRNA from 13 species
AAAAAAAACAUGUAUAUUUGAGAACCCCUGCAGUACAGACCCCACUCUGAGAACCCCUGCAGUACAGACCCCACUCUGAGAACACCUGGUUUGGCUGCUGACCCCC